ACCUCGGUGGUGUAGUGGUAGUAGCAUGCGCCCCCGGUAUGGAUGAAGCGUGGGUUCGACUCCCGUCUGAGGCU